GUGAAGACUACCAUGAUCCCCACACCGAGAAGACAAAUACUCUUAGUUCAAGAUUUUCCGAAAGCAUCCCAGAGAUGUGGGUUCAAGUAACAGAUCAGUUAUCUGGGAGGUGCAGAAAGUCCCUGUAGAGGAGGAGAAAUGUGAGUUCCGGAUGGGAAAGUGGCCAACAGAGGAUGUUUUCUAGAGACAGCUGUCACUGAAGGCAAACAGAGCUCAGUUGCUUGGGGAAAAUUCUAAGGAAUGGGAGAGAUUUUGGAAGUAUUAGAGAAGGCCCUGAGGCUAUGGACCGAGGACCUCAUGGGGAGACAGAUGGAGGAAGCUGCAAGGUGACUGGACUCUCCCUGACUUUGACCUCAACUACCAGUCUUGUCAAAGCCUGAUGUCACUUAUGCAAAAGACUUGGAAACUUGCUGAGGAUUUGCUCAGGAAAUCACUCCUGACAAUGAAGGAGGGCGACCCUAGAUCAUCAAAACAGAAGAAUCUAUUCAAAAUGAAGCUUUUGCUGCCUUCAGUCCCUAACAGAUGACCUACAUAUGGACACCUGAGAUCUGCUAUUUAGAAACUAAUCUGCAACUCAAAACACCUAUGAUUUAUUGAGCCUUUUAAUGUAGUAACCACUGUGCUAUGUACUUUACCUAUAGUCCCUCAUGUAAUUUUCCCAAGAACCUGGUAAGUACUAUAAUUAUCUCCAUUUUACAGAUGGAAAAACUGACUUUUACCCACCCAAGGUCAUACCUGAGUGACAGAUAAACAUAAACUUAGCACCAGGUUCACUGGGCUCCAAGCCCUUGGUCUUAUCCAUUGCGCCCUUCCUUGCUUUUUCCUUGUUCAGUUUUUCUUUCCUGAAGGCAACCAGAUAGGUGAUGAUCUGGAGCCAACAUACAGAAGAACAAGGAACCUGAUUGUAUUUUCACACAAAUGGCCAGACUUGGCUUCUAAUACAGGAUACACUUGGGGUUUGUGACCAGAAAAGGAAAGCUUUCUCUUGUUUGCUGAUUGGUGGCGUUCAAGAACUAUACCCUUUUUUCUAGAUGCAGCAACAUGACUAUGUUUAUUAUCAAAUGAUCUUGCUGAUUAUGUAAAUUGCUUAAGCUUUCAAACACUGAUU